CCUACGGGAGGCUGCAGUGAGGAAUAUUGGUCAAUGGACGAGAGUCUGAACCAGCCAAGUAGCGUGAAGGAUGACUGCCCUAUGGGUUGUAAACUUCUUUUAUAUGGGAAUAAAACAGGGUAUGCAUACCCUCUUGUAUGUACCAUAUGAAUAAGGAUCGGCUAACUCCGUGCCAGCAGCCGCGGUAAUACGGAGGAUCCGAGCGUUAUCCGGAUUUAUUGGGUUUAAAGGGAGCGUAGGUGGAUUGUUAAGUCAGUUGUGAAAGUUUGCGGCUCAACCGUAAAAUUGCAGUUGAGACUGGCAGGCUUGAGUACAGUAGAGGUGGGCGGAAUUCGUGGUGUAGCGGUGAAAUGCUUAGAUAUCACGAAGAACUCCGAUUGCGAAGGCAGCUCACUGGACUGCAACUGACACUGAGGCUCGAAAGUGUGGGUAUCAAACAGGAUUAGAUACCCGAGUAGUC
rnacentral:rRNA from 1 species